CCCUACGGGGGGCAGCAGUGAGGAAUAUUGGUCAAUGGGCGAGAGCCUGAACGAGCAAUGCCGCGUGAACGAGGAAGGUCUUCGGAUCGUAAAGUUCUGUUGAAGGGGAAAAAGAGCGGAGAGAGGAAAUGGUCUCCGAUUGAUAUUACCCUUCGAGGAAGUCACGGCUAACUACGUGCCAGCAGCCGCGGUAAUACGUAGGUGGCGAGCGUUAUCCGGAAUGAUUGGGCGUAAAGGGUGCGUAGGCGGCCUGCUAAGUCUGGAGUGAAAGGUACCGGCUCAACCGGUACUGGCUCUGGAAACUG
rnacentral:rRNA from 1 species